UUCCGUUGGUUGGGGUGCUCCGGUUGGUGCCGGGGCUGAGAAUAACCCAUAGACCUGAUCCAGAUAAUACUGGCGUAGGGAACCGGCGGGAAAAGAAU
rnacentral:ncRNA from 2 species